rnacentral:rRNA from 1 species
CCCUUAGAUGUCCUGGGCCGCACGCGUGCUACACUGACGCAUACAGCGAGCACUUUCCAGUUCCGAGAGGCUACUGGUAAUCAUCAAUAUGCGUCGUGAUGGGGAUAGAUCUUUGGAAUUCUGGAUCUUGAACGAGGAAUGCCUAGUAAUCGCAGGUCAUUAGCCUGCGAUGAUUAAGUCCCUGCCCUUUGUACACACCGCCCGUCGCUACUACCGAUUUCGAGUGGUCAGGUGAAUCUUUCGGACUGUGGGCGCCCUUGAGGUGUUCGCGGAAAGUCAGGUAAAUCUUAUCACUUGGAGGAAGUAAAAGUCGUAACA